UUGGUUUAUCUGGAUUCUAACAUUGUUUCUUUUCUUUACAGAAUGCUGCCUUUUUAUAUGGCCUUGGUUUGGUCUACUUCCAUUACAAUGCCUUUCAAUGGGCAAUUAAAGCAUUUCAGGAGGCGCUUUAUGUUGAUCCCAGCUUUUGUCGAGCCAAGGAAAUUCAUUUGCGACUUGGACUUAUGUUCAAAGUGAACACAGACUAUGAGUCCAGUUUAAAGGUAAGUUUAAGUCCUUUUAGAUUGAAUUUAAUGUUUAUUAUAAGUAGUGUUGCAUCUUAAAACUGGAAGUAAUGUAUAAAUCAUAAAGUCACAGAAUGUCUUGGGUUGGGAGGGACCUCAAAGAUCAUCUAGUUCCAACACCCUCUGCCAGCCACUAGGUCAGACUGCCCAGAAACCCAUCAAGCCUGGCCUUGAAUGUCUCUAAGGAUGGGGUAAACACCUCCAGGGAUGCGUUCAUUCCCUUUUGGAGAUCUUUGUUCUAGACUAUAACGUGGAAUAGCAAAUGAACUGCAGUCAGUCAUACCGGUGCUUGAUAAUGAGCAUUGCUUUCUAGCCUCUCCACUUUACAAAAACACAAUCAAAGAUUAAGUGAAACCAGACAUUUUAAUGUAUGGCUGUUGCACACAAUUUACUUUAGAAAUAAAAGUGCCGGUAUGAAGUUUCUUACUCUAAAGACAGAGUAAAAAUAGGAUUUGAGUUGUGUUAGUUACUAGAAAUAUUCAGAAAAAAAAAACCAACAAGCAGAAAAUUGAAGGUGAGCACUGGUUCUUUAGCAGUUUAAGUGCAGUGGGAUGAAAAAUUUGCUGUGGGGCUCACACUGGAACAGUAAGUCUUGGGAAAAGGCUGAAGUAGUACAAGAAGCAGGAGGAAAAAGAAGAGAGGAAUUAGCAGCUUGAUUUCUAGAUAUUUGUCUCUGCUUAUUUUAGCUUAAGUAUUGUAAACUGUACGUUCAUAAAAAUCAUUAAUAAUAGAAAGCUUUUACAUCUUAUAUAAAUAAUUUAUUUAAUCAAAUAUUUUAUUUGUUUCUAAUUUUCUAAUAGUGUAAAGGGAAGAGGGUAAACGGGGACUGUGGAUGAGAGAAAAGAUUUGCAAAAGUGGGGGUGCUCUACCAUAUGGGCAAUUGGUGUGUGCCCAUGGAAGUGAGACAUGAUGAAGUGCAUAAAAAGUUUAUUAAUUAAUUCCUAUAUUUCAUCAUUUCAGAGUGUGAUUAAAAGGCAACAAUCAUUUAGAAAUUGUGACUAAUCAUUUAGAAAUUGUGUCAAUACAAUACUUUGUUUCUUUUCUUUUACUUUAAAUUAUUUACAAUUUGCCUUCUUUCAGUUUCUGUAAUAUGUAGCUUUAUCUCCCUCCAUUCAACAUCUUUGCUCCUUUAUCCCUCCUUCCACUUAAUACUCUUUAUCUCCAUGUUCUUUCUGUCACAGAAUCUAAAUUUAGGAGUCUGUAUCUCUGAAAAAGGAAGCUUUCAUCUUUUAAGGAGCUUCAUAUUAUGCUGGGAAGUUCAGCUGUGUGGUUGAAAAUUCUGUAAUUUGUAAUUCAGUGUAAUUUAUACAUAUAUUUCUGCAUAUUAAUCUCUACUAAAGAACUAUUGAAAACUUGUUUGCUUCCAGAAGUGUUGCAGAAUGACUUCCUGUGUUUUCCUGAUUUUUCCAGAUUGUUUUCGUGCAACUUGUAUUUGUGUGGUUAUCAGAAACAUGUCAUCAAAGAUUUGAGAGUAGAGUGUUAUGCAGUUUUUUCCUUUUAUUCUUUGUAAUAACAGGAAGCACUUCUCAUCAGUGUUCUUCUUUGAUUUAUAGUCCAAGCUUUCACCUAUAGAGACAGGUGAAACUGGGGAUUUUAAUUAGAGAGAGCAAUGUUGCAUAGGAAUAUGAAAGAUUCAGUGUAGUAAGUGACAAAAGAGCAAGGGCAUGUAGAAUUAGAUCAUUGCGUUGAAGAGGGAUUAUGUGUGAUUUUACGUGGUCCUGUUUCCUCUUACUUGGGAAUGAAUUUUGUAUUGGCUGUUAUGAUAUGCAGGGAAUGAAAGGAGUGCUAAAGAAGCGCGUUUUUGUUUUCGAUAGAUAUCUUAGGGACAAAUAGAAGUGUGAGCACUUAGUAGUUAACUUCUAAUGAAGUAGUGAAAGGAACGUGUGCAUUUUGAUUUCUAGCAGAAGAAUCAUAGGAUUGCAGAAUCAUAGAAUGGCUUGGGUUGGAAGGGACUUCAAGGAUCAUCAAAUUCCAACCCCCCUGCCAUGGGCAGGGCUGCCAGCUGCUAGAUCAAGUGCUAGAUCAGAUUGCCCAGGGCCCCAUCCACUGUGGCCUUAAACACCUCCAGGGAUGGGGUAUCCAGAGCCUCUCCGGGCAACCUGUACCAGCACCUCACCACUCUCAGUAAAAAACUUCCCCCUGUAUGUUAUCCAUCUCCCUUUCUUUAGUUUAAAACCAUUACCCUUUGUCCUAUUACUUUCUACUUGAGUAAAAGGUUGAUUUCCCUCAUGUUUAUAAACUCCCUUUAAAUAUUGGAGGGCGACAGUGAGGUCUCCGUGCAGCCUUCUCUUUUCUAGGCUGAACAAGCCCAGUUCUUCCAGCCUGUUUUCAUAGGAGAGCUGCUUCAGUCCUUGGAUCAUCUUCAUGGCCCUCCUCCAAACCCUCUUCAAAAGCUCUGAAUCUUUCCCGUGUUGGGGAACCAGACUUGGACUCAUUAUUCCAGCUGGAUCCUCACAAGGGCAGAGUAGUGGGGGACAAUCACCUCUCUCACCCUGCUGGCUACACCUCCAUUCUGAUUACAUCAGAAUGGAUCUCAGGAUACCAUUGGCCAUCUGUGUUGCAAACACACACUGUUGACUCGUGCACUUUUUCAUCAACCAGGACCUCCAAGUACUUCUCAGCAGUGCUGUUCUCAAGGAGUUCCUCUUCUAGUAUGUAUAUGUAUCUGGAAUUACCUCGACCCAAAUGCAAAACCUCGCAUUUUCUUUGUUGAACCUCAUUAGGUUCACAGAGGCCCAUAUUUCAAGUUUCCCAAGGUUUGUAUGGCAUCCCUUCCUUCUUCUGCAUCACUCAGCUUAUUGUCAUCAGCAAACUUUCUGAGGAUGUGUUCAAACCCAUCAUCUAUGUUACUGAUAAAGUUAUUAAAGAGUACCAGUCUCAAGAUGGACCCCUGGGGGAUGCCGCUCAUUACCAGCCUCUACCUGGAUGUAGAGCCAUUGGCCACAAUACUCUGGACCUUUGAACCAAUUCCUUCUCUACUGAAUAGUCCACCCUUCAAAUCCAUAUAUUUUGUGUGGUGGGGAACCAUGUCAAAGGCUUUGCAGAGGUCCAGGUAGAUGACAUGAAUUGCCUUCUCUUUGUUCACCGAUGCUGUCACUCAAUCAUAGAAAGCCCCCAGAUUGGUCAGGCAUAACCUUCCCUUGGUGAAGCCAUGCUGGCUGUCCUGGAUCACUGGCUCAUCCCCCAUGUGCAUUAACAUGUCUUCCAGGAGGAUUUGUUCCAUGAUCUUCCCAGACACUGAUGUGAGGCUGAUCUGCCUGUAGUUCGUGGAUCUUCCUUUCUCCCUUUCUUGUAAAUAGGAGUAAUGUUUCCCUUUUUCCAGUCACCAGGACUUUACCUGGCAGCUAUGAUUUUUUCAAAUGUGAAAAUUGUCAAGAAUUAGAUAACUCCUUCCUGCUGUGCUAUAAAGUAUAUAAUUCUGUCACUGAAUCAAGUAUUUAGAUAUCUUGAGAAUUUGGUCCAUAUCAUUUACUAGGUUUCGUUUUAUCUCUUUGCAAAAUAAAAAGGGUCACACAGAUCCUUAGAGAUUUUUCGUGUAGCAAAAUUUUAGUUUUCAGUACACCAAUAAUGACUCAGAAAAGCACCAAAAAGCUUUUUUAAAAAUGGAAAAGGAAUUAACCUUUUAUAAAUGCAAAAUUAUCAUGAUUCCAUUGUUUUUAUGUGCAGUGUGAUUAAGGCACUUAGGAAAACAAAUAACAACAAAAACGGCUUACCCUGAAGCAUAGCAAAGAUCUUCAAAAGGAUUAUGAAAUAAACAUGAGAAUAGGUUUGCACUGAGGAUAGUUUCCUUUAAUCAAUAUAACUACAGGCUUUUGCUAAAAGGAUGUCUCAUUUUGCACUUUCUCAUCCUGAUUGCUGCAGUGAGUCUAGUGACUUUCCAUUUGCAGAGUGAAGUGGACUGUAAGUCUGAACCAGCUCAGCUUGUGACUGCACAGAUCUAUGAUAGAUGCAUGAUAGAAAGCAGGAGUGUGCAAAUGGGAAGGAGAGGGAAGAGCUGUAUUGUUCCCUUCUGAUACACAGACAUAUGAAACUCUACUCUGGAAUACUCAACUGAAACACCUAAGAUUUAGUUUCUGUUUUGCUCCUUUGACUGUGAAAGUUGCUAUCUUUAGCAGGGAAUCAAUAACCAGCAGUGAGGAGCAAGACCAAAUGGACCCAGUGGAGCAAUCCAAUUGGUCUUGAACAGUUUGGGUUGUUUUCAUUUUUGUUCAGCUGUGGGUUUAAUACAGAGUCUUGAGACUGAGUCAUUUUAUUCUACAUUGAAACAAAUCAAUGUGUCCAUCAGAAUAUAUAAGUUAAUAUAUAAAUUGAGGAGUAGAGUAAGUGGAAUGAGCAGGACAGUAGCUUCUUGAAAAGUCAAUCAGAUUGAUCUCAAAGUUGAGGUUUAAGUCAGAACUCUGUAUUAAAAGAAUACUAGAACAAACUGGACACAAGGCAGAAAAUAAUUCUUUAGUGAAGAGAACAAAAUGGUGGAGAUUAUGCACAAGCACAAGGAUAAUAAAAUGAGAAAGAGAAGUGCAGAAAAUGUUUUCACAGAAUGUCUUCUUCCAAAACUGAACGUCUCAUCUUUUCGAAAAAGAAGGAGGAUUGUGUUGUUUUGUUUGUUUUUUUUUUGUAGGUGGUGAUGGUGCUUUUUUGUUUUGUUUCAUGGACCUUGUCAAAAGGAUUCAGGAUUUUAAAGAGUGGCAUUGGGUUUUAGGAUCAAGGCAGCUAAUGACUGGCCAUGAACACAAGCUAUUUUUCUGAGGCUGUGUCUAACAUAAUUCAUAGUCCAGUAUGAGUUUCCUGUAUGACUCUAAGGUAGAAAGUAGGAUUAAGUUUUCAUCUGAUACUCUUUUUUGAUGGUUCUGAAUUUCACAAAUUGUACCAACGUUGCAUUAAUGUACUUUAAAAUAUCAUAAUAUUUUUGAUGGUAUUUAAACAUUCAUGCUAAGUCUGUAAUUGCUAAGAAUAAACCUCUGCCAACAGAUGAGUCAUUGCCAGUAAGAGUCUCCAGGCAAAGGAGGAAGGAUGGGAAUCUGAAGGUCAUAUAUUCCAUGUUUUUCACAAUUUUAGACCAUUAACAUAAAUCAUCUAUAUUUUAUGUAAGCAAUUUAAGCACAAAAUUAAUUUUUACUACUUUAAGAUGUUGAGGAUCAAGAUAAUUACUAGAGUGCUGUUUAACAAGCAUAAAAUCAACUCUCAGUGUUUUUUCAAAAUCAAUUACUGCUUUUGCAUGUUUUUAAUAUUGCUGCACUUAGGACUUACAGAUUACUCCAAAAACCUUUGACUGCUCUGUUACCCAGUUAUUAUAAACUUUGGCAAGAACACGGGGGAUGUUGAAAAUUACUAGGUCUUCAGGAUUGAAGGAAAAGUAUGAUCCUUCUGGUUGAAAGGAAAGUUGUCAUUCUGUAACCUGACAGUUAGGACAGUGUUAUCUUCAGAAGUGAUACGUGUAUGUAUUUGUGUCAUUCAUCAGAAAAAUAGAAUUAAUUCCAAGGUCAGCUGUUAAUGUUGGGGGAGGGAGAAGAGGAGGGCAGGGAUUUUAUUAUUGCUAUAGCAGAAACAUAUAUUAAGGUUUAUAUCAUAGUCCUAACCUUCACUAUGUGUCCCAGCUGCCCCCUUCAUAUUUGCUCAUGAAAUGAAUGACACCAAGAGCACUGUUUUCAAUUUUGUUAGCUAUGGUGGUUCUGUGAUAAGCUAAAAGAAGAAUAAAUCAAGUCCUUUGGGAAUGUAGUAUAUCUUUUUAUUAGUUUCUCUAGUGAGUUGGAAAAAAUGUACAAGUUUCUGAGCACAUGUUCCAUGGCACAUCACCUGCUUAUUCCAAUUUUCUUCUUUAUUUAUGUAUUCUUUCAGUUUCAGCCUUGUUUUCAUGUUUACUCAUCCUGUCUUAGGCGUGUGUCUCAGUUCCUCUCAAAAGUACAUUUGAAUCUUAACCAAUUGCUAGGAAAUAUGCUAGAAUGAAAGAAGUUCAGAGAAGUUUCUACAACAUGCAUCUGCAACAUGUUGCCCCAGAAGCAUUUGUUUGUGCUAUAUACUAGGUGAUCUGAUCACUCUGUCUGCAGAGGAAACACCAUAUAACCUGGUAUGUGAGUAGUCUGUAGGGAUGCAGAAAAUACAGCCUUCCCAUCCAUAAGAUGCUUUACCUUCUGACAGACCUGGUGGCCCUUAUCUAGCUGAACCCGGAGAUUGGUAAAGCACAGAGGUGGAUCGAGGUAUGUUGUGUGGGACUUGUAGGAAAGAGAAGCUGAGGAAAAAAGAAUUAUAAAUUAUAGUUUUAGUAUUAUUUAGUUUAAUAGUUGUGUUUCAUUGGAAACCGCAGCUAUGGGGAACCAGUCUUCCAUCUGGUGCUCAUUCUGUUCUGCUGUGUUGAAGUGUCAUAGUGUGCUCUUGGUGGGGGAUGAUGAUGACAAGCCUUAAAGUCUUUUGAAUGUAAAAUUCAGUUAACUUCAUUUGCUGACAUACUAUUUCAGAGAAAAAGAAAGCUUACUUUUUCAUUUGUGUUAGAAUGAUAGCAUCAAGGACAUGAUGAGUGGGAGAGAGUUCUUAUGUGGUUUUGGUUUUACGAGGGUUCUUGUUUUGUUUGCUUUUAUGUGUUUUUUGGGUUGUUGUCUUGUAAUGGGUGGUCAGUAGGGACUCUGAACAUGAGCAGGCUAUUUUGACAAAUGAACCUGUAUUGUGUUUUGGGAAUUACGUUUGCUUGCAUUUCAAGUAUUGCAGGUACAUUCUGUGCUCAGUGACAAAAUCCU